ACAGCCUCCUUUCUCUCAGUCCGUAACACUCGGCUUCGCCUCAUUCGUCAGCAGAUCACCUGACUGCAGUUUCCUCGGUACUUCCCCGUUUCUCCUGGAAGCAGAGAGGCUCGCCCCGACUCGCUCAGGCUGUCUGCACCUCUCCCCGUAUCCUGCUCCAAAGUGUGAAAGUGAAUUCAGAUAUUUGACCUCAUGAACACGGUCUCACCUGCUUCCACGGUCGUGGUUCUUAGUGGUCUGUUGAACAGGUUUGGAUUUAAAAUGAAACAAAAUCUAUGACUCACACUGCGAUGACUGUUCACUUCUGUUUACGAGCGACACAAUUACUGUUGUUGCCCGUGUUCUACUUUCCGAAUAACAACCGCUGUGUCUGAAUGACUUAUCGCUAUCGGGACCCAUUAGGACGCCCGUCCACUGUUGUUGUGCGUUUAAAUCCCGCUCGCACGAUAAAUCUUUAUGGCGCAUUGUAUAAGUGUGAGUUAGUUCUGGACGUUCGGCCUCCGUCUGCUGCACGGGUGGUGAUAUCUUGCUUCGUAUGACGCACUGCAGCUAAAGUUACUUUCACCAUCUAUGCAAAUACACAUUUAUGUUUUUAGCUGAACUUCUAAUCCGCUCAAACUAGUACACGAUAAUAAAGAAAUCCAUCCACUCAGUACUUCUCUACAUGUGCCGGUACAAAGGGCCACCUGUCUGCCACAAACACAUGGACAGGUACUUGCUGUGACCUACAUGUGGAAAACAGGUACACAGCGGACCUAAAACUAGUGACACAAGGAAGACAAGAGAAGCAGUAUCAAGAAGGGGGAGGAACUUGGCGAGCGUUGGCGGGGAUUCCUCGCCCGUAAAGCUACGUCAGUCAGUGUAUAUAAACCCGUCUGACUAUCAAUAGUUCAAACCUGUUCCUUCUUGUCAAGGCACAACCGCAGCGCUGUGAGAGAACACAGAGAGGCGAAAAAAAACAAGCCGAACCUUCAGCGCUUCACUUCUCUUUUCUGAGCAGACAGAAGCGCGGUGACGAUGGCGGCCCAGGAUCUUGACGCCACAAUUGACGAGUGCGCACACGAGCUCCGUGAGGUCGGCGACGGCCUUUACUGGAGAUUCAGGCUGCUGCAAAUACUCAUCAGGAACUACAAGACCGUAAAUAACAUCAAGUGAGACGGGGCGCCAAGGGCGGACGUGGAAGAGGGAAAUUGGAUUUUUAUUAAACUGGAUGGCAUUCAGAAACGCCGGGGACUCUCGGGGGGGGGGGGCCCUCGACGCCGGAGGCCACAGCGGCGGGGAGGAAGCUGGUGGAAACACCUGGACGGAGACCCCGAGACGCGACCUGUCGGCGGAGCGAGGUCGGCCUGCACCCCGGAGCUUUGCACAGAGAGAGAGUGUGUGUGCGCGCGGCGGGACGCCGGGGAGACCCUCGGGUGAGCGGAUCCGAAGAUGGGACACCGGAUGUCCUCUGCUGAAACACGUGUGCUGUAGACAUGUACGCUGUACAUAUAUGUGAAUGUUUCUGCUCAGAUUGUCGCAUUCAUGUCAGCUGUCGAAUGGAGACUCAGACGCGUGAACUUCCAACUUUGGUGUUGAAUGUUAGCUACGAAUAGUUUGGAUUAUGAGAGGGGGGGGUAAGCCUUUUUCUACAUAACAGACUUCUGCGAUACGUUGUGAUGUAAAGUCAAUACAUGUGGGAACACGGCGUCCGAAACACGGGGAACUAGUCAGUGGAAAGAUGUAAAUCCUGUUUGCUCGUUUAAUAAAAACAAAGUGAGUCGUGCCUCCUCUGCCUGUCGCUGUGUCUGCUGUUCUCUCCUCCGCCGUGAUCUGAACGUAACGCCGUUGCAUUAAUCAAUAACACGCACAGAAGCGACGUUAUUGCUUUAUUAAAUUGAUAUAUUUGAAUGUCUGUUUUUGAAAAUAAUUGCGAUCUUCCGAACUCAUGCGUGUAUCACUCUCUAGUUCACACGCGCACAUAAUGUGGAUGCAACUACACAAACAACUUCAUAGCUCACCAUGUGACCGACACCCUAAAUAUGUAGAAUUAUGUCCUAAAUGACUACGAACCUGUAAAUAUACAUUUAUUGCACAUUCCAUGUUGGGAUUAAGUGUGGAAUUCAUGCAAUUUCAUUGAACAAAAUAAUUCAAAGUAAACAAA
ensembl:lncRNA